UACGAGAGCCCCGAGCGUUAUCCGGAAUUAUUGGGCGUAAAGGGUGUGUAGGCGGUUGUAUUAGUCCUGUGUCAAAUCCUUCCCGCUUAACGGGAAGACCGCAUGGGAAACGGUACAACUUAGAGAGUAUGAGGGGUGUACGGAACUCACGGUGUAGGGGUGAAAUCCGUUGAUAUCGUGGGGAACGCCAAAAGCGAAGGCAGUACACUAGCAUAUAUCUGACGCUGAAACACGAAAGCCAGGGGAGCGAAUGGG
rnacentral:rRNA from 1 species